CCUACGGGCGGCAGUGGGGAAUAUUGGACAAUGGGCGAAAGCCUGAUCCAGCCAUGCCGCGUGUGUGAAGAAGGCCUUCGGGUUGUAAAGCACUUUCAGUGGGGAAGAAAGCCUUGGGGCUAAUACCCUCGAGGAAGGACAUCACCCACAGAAGAAGCACCGGCUAACUCCGUGCCAGCAGCCGCGGUAAUACGGAGGGUGCGAGCGUUAAUCGGAAUUACUGGGCGUAAAGCGCGCGUAGGCGGUCUGAUAAGCCGGUUGUGAAAGCCCCGGGCUCAACCUGGGAACGGCAUCCGGAACUGUCAGGCUAGAGUGCAGGAGAGGAAGGUAGAAUUCCCGGUGUAGCGGUGAAAUGCGUAGAGAUCGGGAGGAAUACCAGUGGCGAAGGCGGCCUUCUGGACUGACACUGACGCUGAGGUGCGAAAGCGUGGGUAGCAAACAGGAUUAGUACCCCAGUAGUC
rnacentral:rRNA from 1 species